AAGGUUCGACUCGAGCGCCAGCGAGAGAACGUUGCCGCAGGCAACGGCCCGAAGGGCGAGGCGCUUUAGCGCCGAGUAAUCCUUCCCCCACCACCA
rnacentral:sRNA from 1 species